rnacentral:rRNA from 1 species
GACGAACGCUGGCGGCGUGCUUAACACGUGCAAGUCGAACGGAAAGGCCCAGCUUGCUGGGUGCUCGAGUGGCGAACGGGUGAGUAACACGUGGGUGAUCUGCCCCUAACUUCGGGAUAAGCUUGGGAAACUGGGUCUAAUACCGGAUAGGACAAUCGUUUAGUGUCGGUUGUGGAAAGUUUUUUCGGUUAGGGAUGAGCCCGCGGCCUAUCAGCUUGUUGGUGGGGUAAUGGCCUACCAAGGCGUCGACGGGUAGCCGGCCUGAGAGGGUGGACGGCCACAUUGGGACUGAGAUACGGCCCAGACUCCUACGGGAGGCAGCAGUGGGGAAUAUUGCACAAUGGGCGCAAGCCUGAUGCAGCGACGCCGCGUGGGGGAUGACGGCCUUCGGGUUGUAAACCUCUUUCGACAGGGACGAAGCUUUGGUGACGGUACCUGUAUAAGAAGCACCGGCUAACUACGUG